GGAAGUAACAGUCGUAACAAGGUUUCCGUAGGUGAACCUGCGGAAGGAUCAUUAAAGAGAAUAUGCCCUUCGGGGUAGAUCUCCCACCCUUUGUUUAUAUUACCUUUGUUGCUUUGGCAGGCCCGUCCUCGGACCACCGGCUUCGGCUGGUCAGUGCUUGCCAGAGGACCCAAAACUCUUAUUAUUAAUGUCGUCUGAGUACUAUAUAAUAGUUAAAACUUUCAACAACGGAUCUCUUGGUUCUG
rnacentral:misc_RNA from 1 species